rnacentral:lncRNA from 1 species
GAGAGACAGUCCAUCAACAAUAGGAAAUGAGCAACUUUUUUCGCAGAUCAGCAAUGAAACUGUCCCCCUUUUUCCCCUUGCCUGGUCAAGGUAUGGCAACAGACAUAAGACCUGAUCGUUUUUUGUUUCUGAGAAGAAACAGCCUUCUUAUUUGGUUGAGAGUAGUCCCAUACAUGAAUCACUAAGCCCUCUACUGCUGACACAAUGCGUUUCCAAUAAAGCAGAGGUUGGUCUCAGUGUUGUCCUAUGACUGCAAGCUGCAAAACAUCCACCAAGAAAAUAAAAAAAGAUUAUAUCAAAACAAACCCAUAGAAGAAUUUACCUCAGCACUGAAAUUUCACUGUCUUUAGAACUUUAUACAAAACCGAAGCAAUUAUGCAUGCAAACCCUAAAACGUGAUACACAAGAACUUGUACCUCGGUAAACUAAAAAAAAAACAAAGACAAAUGAUCCAAUAUCCCAAGAGUUAGA